GAGUUUGAUCAUGGCUCAGGACGAACGCUGGCGGCGUGCUUAACACAUGCAAGUCGAACGGAAAGGCCCCCACUUUUUUGGUGGGGGUGCUCGAGUGGCGAACGGGUGAGUAACACGUGGGUGAUCUGCCCUGCACUUCGGGAUAAGCUUGGGAAACUGGGUCUAAUACCGGAUAGGACCAUGGUUUAGUGUCUCAUGGUGGAAAAAUUAUUGUUUUGGUGCAGGAUGAGCUCGCGGCCUAUCAGCUUGUUGGUGGGGUAAUGGCCUACCAAGGCGUCGACGGGUAGCCGGCCUGAGAGGGUGGACGGCCACAUUGGGACUGAGAUACGGCCCAGACUCCUACGGGAGGCAGCAGUGGGGAAUAUUGCACAAUGGGCGCAAGCCUGAUGCAGCGACGCCGCGUGGGGGAUGACGGCCUUCGGGUUGUAAACUCCUUUCGUUAGGGACGAAGCCGCACCUGUUUUGGGUGUGGUGACGGUACCUUUGUUAAGAAGCACCGGCUAACUACGUGCCAGCAGCCGCGGUAAUACGUAGGGUGCGAGCGUUGUCCGGAAUUACUGGGCGUAAAGAGCUCGUAGGUGGUUUGUUGCGUCGUCUGUGAAAUUCCGGGGCUUAACUUCGGGGUGGCAGGCGAUACGGGCAUAACUAGAGUGCUGUAGGGGAGACUGGAAUUCCUGGUGUAGCGGUGGAAUGCGCAGAUAUCAGGAGGAACACCGAUGGCGAAGGCAGGUCUCUGGGCAGUAACUGACGCUGAGGAGCGAAAGCAUGGGGAGCGAACAGGAUUAGAUACCCUGGUAGUCCAUGCUGUAAACGGUGGGCGUUAGGUGUGGGGACCGGUUUGGUUUCUGUGCCGUAGCUAACGCAUUAAGCGCCCCGCCUGGGGAGUACGGCCGCAAGGCUAAAACUCAAAGGAAUUGACGGGGGCCCGCACAAGCGGCGGAGCAUUUGGAUUAAUUCGAUGCAACGCGAAGAACUCUUACCUGGGUUUGACAUGCACCAGACGGUUGUAGAGAUACGUACCUCCCUUUGUGGUUGGUGUGCAGGUGGUGCAUGGUUGUCGUCAGCUCGUGUCGUGAGAUGUUGGGUUAAGUCCCGCAACGAGCGCAACCCUUGUCUUAUGUUGCCAGCACUUUGGGUGGGGACUCAUGAGGGACUGCCGGGGUUAACUCGGAGGAAGGUGGGGAUGACGUCAAAUCAUCAUGCCCUUUAUGCCCAGGGCUUCACACAUGCUACAAUGGUUAGUACAACGCGCUGCAAGCCUGUGAGGGUGAGCGAAUCGCUGAAAGCUAAUCUCAGUUCGGAUUGGGGUUCUGCAAACUCGACCCCAUGAAGUCGGAGUCGCUAGUAAUCGCAGAAUCAGCAAUGCUGCGGUGAAUACGUUCCCGGGCCUUGUCCACCACCGCCCGUCA
rnacentral:rRNA from 1 species